UCAGAAGAAUAUAUAAGAGAAAGGUCAAUACUGAGGACUUUAAUGCACUUAUCCAUUUCUGAAUCCUGGGAAGAAUAUGUAACAGCCAGAUGGAUACUACGACUCAAGUUUGUUUUUCAACUCAGGCAGUGAAACCCUGAAUGGGAAGACACUACAGUAAACAAACAAAAAUGCACACAGGAAACAGAGUGUAAUGGAAUCCCUUGGACUUUCAAAGAAGAUGGAGAGCACUUCUGCUAAAAUCACCUUCCAAAAUCCCAGGAAAACUUCUGUGUUUAACCGGAAUUCUAUUAAAACUUCCUUUUACUUCUGAUUUAAAUGGAGUAUGCCAAGUAACCCUGGUUUUCGAAUUGGGUGAACUAUUUAAUCCUCCUCAAAGAAAAAAAGAAAAAAACAAACAGCACCGAACUGACUUGUCAAGAGAAAAUAUAGAAGACUAUUAUACAGGUGGUCCACUUCAGUUAGACUCUUCCCCUUUCUUCAUGCCAAA